rnacentral:rRNA from 1 species
UGUGUAGGCGGCCGUGCAAGUCGGAUGUGAAAGCCCCGGGCUCAACCCGGGAAGUGCACCCGAAACUGCAUGGCUCGAGUACCGGAGAGGUUGGUGGAAUUCUCGGUGUAGAGGUGAAAUUCGUAGAUAUCGAGAGGAACACCGGUGGCGAAGGCGGCCAACUGGACGAGUACUGACGCUGAGACACGAAAGCGUGGGGAGCAAACAGGAUUAGAUACCCUGGUAGUCCACGCCGUAAACGAUGGGUGCUAGGUGUCACGGGCUUUGACUCCUGUGGUGCCGUAGCCAACGCAUUAAGCACCCCGCCUGGGAGUACGGCCGCAAGGCUAAA